AUUGAACGCUGGCGGCAUGCCUUACACAUGCAAGUCGAACGGCAGCACGGGAGCAAUCCUGGUGGCGAGUGGCGAACGGGUGAGUAAAGUAUCGGAACGUGCCCAGUCGUGGGGGAUAACGUAGCGAAAGUUACGCUAAUACCGCAUACGAUCUAUGGAUGAAAGCGGGGGAUCGCAAGACCGCGCGCGAUUGGAGCGGCCGAUAUCAGAUUAGGUAGUUGGUGGGGUAAAGGCUCACCAAGCCGACGAUCUGUAGCUGGUCUGAGAGGACGACCAGCCACACUGGGACUGAGACACGGCCCAGACUCCUACGGGAGGCAGCAGUGGGGAAUUUUGGACAAUGGGCGAAAGCCUGAUCCAGCCAUGCCGCGUGCAGGAUGAAGGCCUUCGGGAUGUAAACUGCUUUUGUACGGAACGAAAAGGUUUGGCCUAAUAAGCUGAGCUCAUGACGGUACCGUAAGAAUAAGCACCGGCUAACUACGUGCCAGCAGCCGCGGUAA
rnacentral:rRNA from 1 species